rnacentral:rRNA from 1 species
AUGCAAGUAAACAAGUUUUGUCAUGUUCUUUUGGCAGCAAGACGUAUCUUUGUUUGUGCGAUCCUGGUUCACCCAAUAUCAUUCCUUACAAUCUUUAUUUAUGCCAAGAUUUAUGAUGAUACAUCUCCUUGUAGUCUUGAGUCAACUGAUAUUGACAUUAAGCUAGCAAAUAAACGGAAUAUAUUUGAAUCUUCUGAAAUACUACAAUACACAGGCGAUGAUUACCUAUCACCUCCUCUCCCUGCCACGAUCAUCAGGCAAUACCGGCGGCCAUGGCAACUCGUACGGGUACGCUGGCCCUUGAUAGUUGUUUCUCUCGUGCUCGCAUUCUACCCUCAUUGUGUCAAGCUCGAUGGAGAACAUCCACCCCUUCUCCUUUGGUCUCACUAG